CACUCCCUCCCUGCCCCACGUCCAAUCCCCUCGCCCGCACUGCUCCCUCCCUCCUCGAUCUCUCUCCCUGGCCAGCCGCCAUUGGUGGGAAACCCUAGCCCAUUAUCCCAAUCAACACAACCGCAGCUCCUCUCCUUCUUUCUCCCUCCUCCCCCUCCUCCCCUCACCACAGCCGCAACCUAGGGGCUUCACCGUCCGUUUCGAUGAGAUCCACCACCUCGCGAGGUUCUCAUCUGCCCUAGGUUGCGAGGAAGCCACGGGAGGAGGAGUGACCUCGAUGCGAGAUAGGUACGGAGGAGGAGCUCAACCAGCGCGUCUUCGGCCGGAGGAAGGAAGCAGCGGAUGCGAGCCAGGAGGCGAAUCGGCUCAGCCCAGCUAUGGAGGCGGCCGAGGCGGGCGCGGAGAGGGCCGAUGCGGCGGCGGCCAAGGCCAGGGAGGACGAGGUUGCAUCCAUCAGCGAGAAGCGGCCGAUCCACCUGCGUGCCGUCACUGCAGGGAUAGCGGCGCCGUCGCCCUCUCCCCUGGUGGCACCUCCCUAUAUGUUGAGGUUGGUCCUGGAAUGGUUGGCUUUGGGACUUUUGGUGGCUGUAUAUUCUUAUGCUGACGAGAAGCAUUUGCAGGACCAUUAUGUGGUUAUCCGUGGCAGUGUGCUCCUAUCCUCCCCGCCUCCAUACUUCAUUUUUGGAAAACUAAUGAUUUUAAUUCCUGGAUAUCAUAGAUGUUGAGGUUGGUCCUGGAAUGGUUGGCUUUGGGACUUUUGGUGGCAGUAUAUUCUUUUGCCGACGAGAAGCAUUUGCAGGACGAUUAUGUGGUUAUCUGUGGUACCAUUGAUUGAGCCUCAGCUUCGUAGCCGAUCUUCGACCAUCCAUGGCAUCAACACACAAAUUGAUAAUGCAAACCUCAGGUCAAUACCUCCCCUAUUUGAUUUCUGCGGCAGAGUGCUAAUAACUUUUAUUGUUUGUGUUUUUGGAUAAUAUUUGCAUGGUAUUUCUAUCAUUGGUUGAUUGCUUGGAUACUUUCACUAUAGUAGUUGUUCUGCCUCAUCUAUCACUAUCUGCGGGCUUGCUUUGAUUAUGUGUCUCCCAACUUUCUGUAACUAAAAAGCAGCCUGUAAAUGUAGCUUGAAUAAAAAUGGUACCUUUCAGUUUUGUGCAAGUUCAAAGUAUUAGUAGUUUCAGUUUGUCCACUUUUUGCAGGGAUAUUGUGUGAGGUCUGGUACAAACUUUUAAGACAAUCACUUAAUACAUUCAUGGGAUCACCAACUUUUGGCGUUUGUUGAUACUAGCUAGGUGGGGCCAUGAAUUCCUAGAAGAUUGUGGCAAUUAUACUGCUUCGCUUGCAAGAUUGGUUUCUAAAAAUAUCGUGGUAGUUGUAAUUUCAGAUUGCUGCUGAUUUGACUAAAUAUGUUAUGAUUGUUUUUAAGCUUUGACUCUUUACUGUGUGCACAACUAAUUCAUUCCUAAUUAAAUCUUUCAAUGGUUGAUGGGAACACCAUAGAUCUUGCUUCUCUUCUUUUUAAUGUUUCAUAUGUUUUCAUGUACAAACCAAGGCAUGCGGAUGCGGGCGCGAUGGCGGGCAUCUCCGGCAGCGGCGGCGACCUACAGGCAAGAGGCAAUGACUCGGGUGUUCGAUUCGAUCCAGCGCCAUGGCCCGGUCCCUGCGGGAGAGAGAGAUGAGGGACAGAGAGAGAAGGAAGGAGAGGAGGGAGAAAGAGAGAGGGAGGUGAAUGCCCUGGACUCUUCAAGAUCGAGCGCACCAUUGGACAGGCUGAGUACGUCCAUCGACAGCCUGCCCAGUGUCCGGGUUCACCAAGCAGUACAACCGGAGACGCUGUCGGCUGCCUGCAGGCACCAAGCCGUCCGCUGUUGUCUCUGCCUGUAGAAGGAUUAUGGUUCUCCACCUCUUUGCUACUCAUAUUAAAAUUCCGCUAUUCCGGAGAAGUUUAGAGCUUCUGCAACCUUUUGAAGACACGAUUUAUAGUUGCGGAGAUGAAACAAGCAAUCAGUUGUGAUGCAUUACAUAAUCUUUUUGCUCUGGACAUUGAUGGGUAUUAUUUUGCCACAAAGGACAGGAGCUUUGCCAUUUGACUCGAAGGAUAAAGUGUUCAUCACAAGGGGGUGGUCUUUAGGAUGUACACAAAAGAGGAAAUUUCCUUUUGUAUAGAACCAAAUUAUAUGAUGUAAUUGACCAUUCUCUUGUACACAAUGUUUAUCAUGUAUUAAGUACAUUUUAUUGUCAAAUAUGUUUACUUUUUUUA